UUGCAGCUAAGUGGUGAUGGGCAGUGGGAAGAUCCGCGGUGCUCGUCCGCCGUCCACCACGGCCUACUACGUGGCUCUGGCCGGCGUCCUUGGAUUGCUGUUGCUGCUGUGCUGCUACUUCGUGUAUUUCUGUAUUCGACGGGUUAAAAAGUUGACCGAACAAGGUCUUCCGGAACGAGUAGAGUCGGUACGGCCACCGCCACCGGACACGGUCGCCUACCCAGUGCAACCUGCGGUGCGUGCGAGUGCGUCUGCGAUGGCGCGCCUUUGCCACUCCCCCACCCGCGGAGCGCCACCUUCCUCGCCCCGAAACUUAGUCUCACCCUCCAGGGAUAGAUUCGUUUCAGCGCAACGGUCAAGUUCAUUGACCCCCGCACACACUGACACAGUACACCCGCGCACUCGAAGCCAGCUGCCGCCUCCGAACAUACUUACAUCUAGAACUACACCCAUUAGAAACGGUCCUAAAGUUAUUCCUCCGAGAAUAGAACUCGUAUCGAACGAAUAUAAUAUCAUGAGUGAUAGAACACCCUCGCCUAAGAAGAGUCUAUCACCCAGAAGCCAGAAUUUUUCACCGCGUAAAAGUAAGGAUACACUACCCGUUUGGAAAGACGUGGCUUUAGUGAGACGGAGAGAAGGGACUGUCAGCAAAGAGAGUCAACGAAAGCAUUUCUCUGCUCCGCCUCAGAUUGUCGUUGGGGACGUGGAGUAGCUACUGCUCCGCAUCUCCACUCGGGUAAACUUGAGGGUGAUCUUUUGCCCUAAUUCAGGCUCAUCGCACCGCGCGACACUUUAGCUGGCUAAACGUGUAAUCCUCUUAUUUAUAUUUAAUAAUUAAGAAUGGACUAGUAGUUAAGUUCUUUAAGUAAAAUUAAUUUUAGAAG